CAGCCGCCGCGGUAAUACGGAGGGUGCAAGCGUUAUCCGGAUUUAUUGGGUUUAAAGGGUCCGUAGGCGGAUCUGUAAGUCAGUGGUAAAAUCUCACAGCUUAACUGUGAAACUGCCAUUGAUACUGCAGGUCUUGAGUAAAUUUGAAGUGGCUGGAAUAAGUAGUGUAGCGGUGAAAUGCAUAGAUAUUACUUAGAACACCAAUUGAGAAGGCAGGUCACUAAGAUUUAACUGACGCUGAUGGACGAAAGCGUGGGGAGCGAACAGGAUUAGAUACCCGAGUAGUCCCUGUCUCUUAUAC
rnacentral:rRNA from 1 species